rnacentral:misc_RNA from 1 species
UUAAGUUCAGCGGGUAUUCCUACCUGAUCCGAGGUCAACUUUCAGAAGUCGGGGGUUUUCCGGCGUGGCCGCCGCCGCUCCCAGCUGCGAGGUUGUGCUACUACGCAGAGGUACACGGGCGGGGCCGCCACUGUAUUUCGGGGCCGGCCGGUGAAGGCCGAUCCCCAACGCCAGGCGCGGGAGCCUGAGGGUUGAAAUGA